rnacentral:lncRNA from 1 species
GCUAGUUCUGUAGCAAGUCAAAGGAUUUGAUCUUCCAAAUCCAGAGUGGUUCCUGAACUAGUAAGAAAUCCAGAGAGCCAGGAAUAGCACAGGACUGAAGGAUUGAGAGUUGCAAGGGACCAUAGGGACUGAUCUUGUCCAACUCUCUCAAUUUUUAUAGUUAAGAAAAUUUAUGUUCAGAGGCAAGGUGGUUUAUACCUGGUGACAUAAACAGUAAGCAGCUGAGCUGGGAUUUCAACUCAGGUUCUGACUUUAUAUCUAGUGCUUUUUUAAAAACUUCCAACAGAAGCAUUCGCUGGCCCAAGGAGCUGACAAUUGUCCCUACUCCAUUAAGUGGCUCACUUUGCUCUGCUCCCAGCAGAAUCUCAGAGGAAGAAAGGAACCUUGGAAACCACCUCCAAUUCUUACCUGAACAAGACUCUGCUCUCUCACAUCCCUAACAAGUGGUCAACCAGCCAAGGCUAGAGCCAAGCUCAGAGACCCACAGAGAAGGAGAAUGCACCUUCCUGAGACAGCUCAAGAUCAUGAGUGCCUUUCUUUGUAUUCUUAGAACUUACCACAGUGCCUGGAACACAAGAUAAUCCAUGUGCCAGAACAAUGUAAAAGUCAUCACGCUGUAAAAGUCAUCACACUGUACAAGUAGAAAGGAAAUUGGACUAAUCAUGUAGUGAAUAAGAGAAGUGACAGAUGGCUAACCCCAUUAAUAUACAGGUACUUCUGAGAUGUUAAAAGAACAAAAGACAGCCCUCCAAAGUAUGAGGUGGAUUCCCUAUGGAGGAUUAAUGAGAAUACAUGGGUAAGAAUUAUAAAAGAUCAGGAGCUAUAGAAAUUAUAGUCUCAAUUAGUG